CUGCAUGGCCAUACCACCCUGAACUCAGGAGCUAAGCAGGGUUGGUCUGGUUAGUACUUGGCUGGGAGAUCUCUAACAUCUUUUUAAA
rnacentral:rRNA from 1 species